GGUCUGGGGCCUCUGGGUUGACUCUUCUCUGCUGUGUGGAUUUCUGAGAGCAUGAGACUGAGUGGUGUUCAUGAGAGCAGCCUGUACUUCCUGGCGUCUGUGCUGGCCUGGCCUUGAUGGGAGGGUUCCAUCUCUGUUUGUGAGGCCCCCACUUCUCUCAGACCCACGGAGGAGGAAGUGACAUAGCAGACCCAGACCAUGUGAAACCAGUGUUCAGAAGUCUUCUCCCUGGAGACUUCACAGCUGGCAUUCUGUAAGGGGUCUCCACGGCUCGGCACCCAGUUCUGGGGGAACCCAGCUUGGAUCUGUGCUGGCUACUUCUUCCUAGGAACCCAGGUAUUUGGUUCUGAGCAGCAGGGAGAAUGGUGCAGCCUACCAUGUACCUGUUUUCACUUUUCACAGGGAACAAGUUAUGAAUCUUAAAGCAACAUCAGAGAAAAUAUUGGAAAGCUACAUCGAACUGUUAAUAACUACACUGAAGUAGAAUCAUGGGUAACAUUUUAAAUACUUUUGUUUUUUGACUUUCUAAAAGAAUUUUCUACAGUGAACAUAUUUUUGUCAUCAAAAAACAGACUUUUUAAGUGAAAAAUAUCAAACAUACACAAAGAAGAGAUCAUACCAGGUCAAGGCCUGCAAACCACAGCCUGCUGGCCAAAUCUGGUUUUGCACAGCCCAUGAGAGAAGUUCUUAGGUUUUUAAAUAGUGAGGAAAACGGCAUGACCUUCACGAGUCAGUGUCUGUGACGUGUGUGGACUGGCUGGCUGUUCCGCCCAGCGGCCCAGCAGCCAGAGGGACCACAUGGCUGCCAAGUAUCCACUGUCGGCCUCUCUGCAGAAAGUGUUCAGACCUGGUGUGAACUGGGAGUGCCUGCCCUCGGCCCGGGUGACAGUUCCUGACCAGCUUUGUUUGAAUUACGUUGAAGUGAUACCCCGACAUCUUAGGGGACAGUCUUACCUUCAUGUUGUAUUGAAAACUCACUAAGACCAUGAACGAACCAAUGCACCAAGCACCAAACUCCAAAUGCACGAGCAAACCAAAGGACCAAAAAGGGCGCUCCAGGGCGAGGGAGACCCUCAGCACCUCCCUUGUGGGACCCACCGAGGCAGCAAGCGGCAUGUGACCGCCAUGCAGGGGGCCUGACACAGGCACGUGGGACAGUCUCCAGGACAUACACUACGUGAGCCCAUAAAAGACUGAAAUCAUAAAAAAGUUUCUGGUCACAGUGGGAUGAAACUAGGAAUCCACAGCAGAAAGAAAAGUGAGAAGUUCACAAAUUUGUAGAAAUUAAACGACAGACAACAACGAAGAAACCACAACGAAGACUAGAAAGUAAAUGAAAACUAACACAUAACAUGCAAACAUUUAAGUAUGUAGUGAAAGCAGUGGCAGGAGGGAAAUUUAUGGCUGGAAACAUACCUAAAAAGAUGUUUUCAAAUCAACAAGCUACAUUUACAUCCUAAAGAAGCAGGAAGAAACUCCAAAGCCAACAGAACGCAGGGAACAAUGAAGAUGAAGCCUGAGUGCAAUGCAGAGUGAGGAGACAAUAGCAGAACUGAGGCGUCAGGAGGCAGUCUGCAGACGUGGGAAGAGAAGCAGGGUCCAAGGCACUCACGGGACUCAGCCGUGAGCACACCCAGCAGGACACGCCCAGGCCCGGUGGCUGCACUGGAGAAUCUGCAGUCCUUCUCAGAUGUCAAACACGCACAGAGAACACCUCCAAAUGCACGCUGAGGCCAGCAUUAUUCUGAUACUCAUACCAGACAAAGAUACUCCAAGAAAAUGAACAGUAUCCGUGAUCAACGUUUUUAUAUCAAUAUUUGAUGAAAUACAAGCCAAUAGAAUUCCACAGCACAUGGAAAGGACGGCAUAUGACAGCCAGGUGAGCUUUGCCCUGGGGCGCAUGGACAGGCGAGCUGUGCACCGCCCCCCUCCACUCUGCAACAUCUCUCCACAUGAGCAGAAAAGCAUCGGCGGCCAUCUCAGUAGAGCCCCACACCCCUUCAUGUAAAAACUCCACAGAUGAGGAACAGAAGGAGACAACCACCCACGAUAGGGUCACAGGCAAAGCCACAGCACACAUCACAUUCAAUGGGAGGAGUGAGGCAAGGUGCCACUCUCACCGGCUCCACUCAACACAGCACUAAAGCUCUAGCCAGAGAAACGAGAGGCAGCAAGAGGAAGAAGCCUCUGUCUACAGAGAACAUGAUCUCUGUAGAAAUCUAGGUAGAAAACCUCAAAGACUCCAUACACACAAAAAAAUGAAUAAAUGAAUUCAAUAAAGUUAAAGGAUCAAAAAAUCAACAUGCAAAAAUUCAAUAAGAAAUCCAAAAGGAAAUUAAGAAAAUUUCGUUUAUAAUAGUAACAAAAAGAAUGAAAUACUUGGUACUAAACUUAAACCAAGGAGGUGAAAGAUUUGUCAAACUACAAAAAUACUAGGCUAGGUCUGUGGCUCAGUGGUAGAGGCCUGUGUGAGGCACUGGGUUUGAUUCUCAGCACCACAUAUAAAUAAACUAGUAGAUAAAUAAGGUCUAUCAACAAUUAAAAACUACAAAACACUGAUGAGAGGAAUUAAAUAAGACACCAAAAAAAAAAAAAAAAAAAAAAAAGGAAUACCUCCUGUUCAUGGAUUGCAAGAACGCUGUCCACAUGAUCUUCAGAUUUAAAGCAAUCCCGACCACAGGCCAUGGUACGUUUUGCAAAAAUAGAAAAACCCACAGUGAGGUUCGUAUGGAACUUUAGUGCAGCCCAGGGGUGCAGCCCUGCUGGGAUGGAUGGCCAGUGCUGCACAAGGAAUCACCCUGUGUCCUGGUUGGGAUGUGAGGGGUCCCCCAAAGCUGCUGUUAAUGCAGGGAUGUUGAGGGUGGAAUGGUUGGUGGUGACGAUGGCGAGGGCUGCAACCCCUCAGUGGUGGGCGUGGCCAGAGGAGAUGUGUCCCUGGCUGUGUCUUCCUUGCAGCCUGCUCCCUCUCUCGGCUUCCAGGCUGCCGUGAGCUGAGUGGCCCUUCCUCACCUAGGGCCCAGAGCCAGGGCGUUGCCACUGAUGGACUGACCCUCUGAAACUGCGGGCCCCAAAGAAUCCCUCCUCCUCUAAGUUGUUCUUGUCAGAUAUUUUGGUCUCAGUGACAUGAAAGCUGACUAAAAUAGCAGGUGAGGCGGCAACCUCACUUAGAGUAUGUGCCCACAAGAAGCCAAAGCAGAGUCUUGAAGAGAGAUCUAGACACCAUGUUCUCAGAAGCCAAGAGAUGGAAGUAGCCCAAGUGUCCACGGUGAAUGAAAGAAUGGACAGGACAUGGGACGGCCACACAGUGGAAUUUAACUCGACCUUAAAAAUGAAAGGAAGCUGGGUGUGGUGGUGCACACCUGUAAUCUCAGUAGCUCAGGAGGCUGAGGCAGGAGGAUGGCGAGUUCAAAGUCAGCCUCAGCAAUUUAGUGAGACUCGGUUUCUAAAUAAAAUAGAAAGUAAAGAGAGCUGGGGAUGUGGCUUAGUGGUUGAGCACCCCUGAGUUCAAUCCCUGGCGGUAUCAAAAAAAGGGGGGGAGGCCUGAUUUGCCAAAGCAUGGACGGGCCUGGAGAACACAAGCUGGUCCCACGGUCCCACACACAGGGGGUGCCACAGUAGAGGCUUGUCAGGGGCUGGCAGAGUGAGCAGGGAGUUACUGUUUAAUGGGGACAGUCUUCACAGAGGUGACUUUCCUUGAUGCCACAGACCUGUGCCCUCAGGAAUGGUUAAGUUCCAUGAAUCUUUUACUACACCCUACAGUUGGUGACCGACACCAGAUGAGUCACCUAGAGUGAACCCUGAAGAGCGGCUUGCCACCACCUGCAAGCUUCCCGAAGCCUGUGAUCUGGGGGUUCUACGCAGACGCCAGGGAGGCCUCUCCUGUCCCAGGAUGAGCUGAAGAGUGGAUCCCUACAUACGCCAGGGAGGCCUCUCCUGUCCCAGGAAGAGCUGAAGAGUGGAUCCCUACAGGACAGUACACUUUUCUCUGCGAGAAACUGCUCAAUUCAUGCAAGUUAAAUGCAGAUGUAGUGGUUCCUCAGCACAGCUGAACAGCACUGUAAUAAAUUACAACCUUUCAAGAAAAAAACCAUACGAACAAGACAGCACCCAAGAGAAAACACAGAGAGCACAGUGCCGCCCGCAGCCCAGCAUGUCUCUGAAAGAGGACAGCUGGAGAUGCGCUGGUCACCUUGGUCCUGCUGUGGAUUGCCCCAUGCAGGCUCAGAGGCUACCCACUGCUGACCUUCACAGCAGCCAGGGCUUCGAAUGACACAGGAGGAGGCUUCUGGCUGCAGCAGCCAGGGUGUUUAUGAUUUCAUGAAAAGCUCUCCUCUGGGUCUACAUACAGGGGCUGAUGGUCUGCAUCCAUCUGGAGGGAACCUGUCAUCUGACGUCAGGAAACUGUGCUUGAGCUUUUAUGUCAGCUCAGCACAGAAUGAAGGACCGAAGAUCCAGAAUAUGUUAUGCCUAUUCACAAGUUUUAACAUGCUUAGUCUUUUGUUUAUUUACUUACUUUUGGUUGUUUUUGUGGUGCUGGGGAUUGAAUACAGCGCCUCAUACAUGCUAGGCAAGUGCUGUACCACUGAGCUAUUUCCCUGAUAUUUUGAGGUGGGCUCUUGGCUCCUGAGUAGCUGGGAUUGCAGGUGUGUGCAACUGUGCCCAGGGGAAAGGACAUUUUAAAGAAAUGACUUGCCAAGGUCUCUCACCCCACGCAGAGAUGAGUGGACAGUGGUGCAGUUCCACACAGCAGCUGCUGAGACUUACUUGUAUUUGCAUUAUGGAAUUAGGGGUGAUAUUUAUUUUUUUACAUACCUUCAUUUUCAAAAUUUCCUAAAAUCGACAUGCUUUAUUUUAAAAUAAAACUCUUUAGACUGA